rnacentral:ncRNA from 2 species
UAAGUCUUAAAGAUAGUAAGUGGUCACAAUCUGAUCGUUGUGACAUAAUAGGGAAACAGGUCAAAUUCCUGUGCGGUCCCGCCGCUGUAUAUGAGGAGUCUGCUAUUCUCGUAAAACUGUCCGCAGUUUUACAAUCACUGGGUUUAUCGGCCUGGGAAGAUUUGUAGCAGAUGUGGAUUCAUGAGCCAGAAUACCUGCUUAUUAUCCGUACCACCU